AUUUAAGUAGUUUAAUAAAAAUAAUAGUUUGUGGGACUAUUGAUGCAGUUUUGCCUUUAAUA
rnacentral:tRNA from 1 species